AUUGGCUCUCGCGGACGCUGACGGACAGGGCAGGGGAGGGCCAAAGCCCGGUCUGACGGGCGCGCGCGGGGGCGCGAAAGCACGAGAGCGCGGCUGCGCGUGCGCGAGCGGCGGGGCUUUCUCCCGAGCCGUCGGAGGGAGCCGGAGCGCUUCUCCAGAGUUGGUGAUCGAUUGGUCGUAAUCCAACAUGCAGAAGUGAGUGAGUGGUGAAAAGCAGCAGAGCUGAUGGGUUGUGAGGAUGUAAGUGCGUUUGAAGGCUCUCACACCCUCUACUCCAGGAUCUAGACUGACAAGGAACCAGCUAUGAAAAAGGCAGCAGAUUUCUAGAACAUUCUUCCCUGUUAAGUAGUUGGCAUACGCAGAGUGCUGUGAAACAUCUCCAUUGCUUCCUGAACUCCAGGGUCUAGAACUCCAGAUGAUAGUAUCCUCUGCCUCUUUCACCCAGGUGAGAAUCUGAAAGAUUAGAAUGAAGUCCCACCUGAGGUGGGGAGCUGGAACGGUCCCUGAUCAAAGCCUGAGCACACUGCCUUCUUGGUAGGGGGAGUAGAAUCCUGCACCUGGCCAGGAGAACGCAGGGAUGCUGGUUCCUUAGGCUGUAGGAUUGGAAAAACUGAAUUUCAGCUAGUGACCCUAAUGCCAGAACGUCAGAAAACUACAGAAACAAGACGAUGGAGGAUGGAGAGGCUGCAGCCGGCCUCGGAGGAGCUGGAACGGGUUGUAUAUCUUAGUUGCAGGUCCUUCUAGUUGUGGGACGUGGGACGCCGCCUCAACGUGGCCUGACGAGCUGGUGCCAUGUCCGCGCCCAGGAUCCGAACCCUGGACCACUGCAGUGGAGCCCUCAAACUUAACCACUCGGCCACGGAGCCAGCCCCAAGAGUACUCUUUAAAACUUUAAAGAUCCCAUUAUCCAUUCCAGCAAAUCUGAAACCUGGAAGUAAUCUUUUUUCUAAUACUUUUCUGAUUAUGGAAGUAACAUAUUAAUUGUAUAACAUCUGGAAAAUACAGUCAAGCACAAUAAAGAAAAUUUAAAAACUGUAAACCCACAUCAUGGAGAUCAUUGUUGUUAAUCAUCACUGUAAUCAUUGUGAAUAGCCAUUCAAGCUUUGUUUUGUGUGUGUGUUUAUAUCUAACCUGUCUAUACCUAGUUGUGUGUAUAACUUUUGAUUUUCAAAAUUGAAAUUAGAUUGUUUUCGUUACCUAAAUUAAGAACAUUUCCUCAUUGUCACAUGCACGUAUGUGACAUAUCCAUCAUUUAAUCAUAGUUUACCUGUGCCCUAUUUUUUAAUAUUUCAAGUUGUCUCCUAGUUUUUGCUCUUUUGUGUAAUGAGGCAAUGAACAGAGGCU
rnacentral:lncRNA from 1 species